GCGAGGGUAGCAAAGCCUGGUCAAAUGCGCAGGACUCAGAAUCCUGUCUCUUAGUGAGUUCGAGGGUUCGAAUCCCUUCCCUCGCA
rnacentral:tRNA from 1 species